GUCUGGAUGUAGAAUGCUCGGCUACUUCUCCAGCACCGCAUCUGUCUGCAUGCUGCCAUGCUCUUCACCUUGAUGAUAAUGGAACUAAACCUUUGAAACUCUAAGCCAGUCCCACCUAAAAGCUUUCUUUUGUACUCCAAAUGAAUAUAUGCCUCCUCUCUUUUUGUGAGAUCCCACAGAAACACAUGAAAUUAUAUUAAUGAGAAAGAAGCCUUAACAUGCAUGUACACUGAAAAGAGCCAGCAAGAGAAAAAACAUUGAACUGGAGUGGCGGAGAGAACCCAGAAGACCUGUGGCAAGUUAUCCAUUCUCAUAACUGUAAUAUGUGCACCUUCACCAGCAUUUCAUCCCAGCCUCUGAUAACCACCAUCUUACCUUCUACUUCAAGGAGACAUCUAUGCAAAUGACUUCACAAAUAUUUAUGAGCAUUGGUAAUAUAGUCAACAUUAUUGUAUUGCAAAUGAGUAUGCAUUGUGAUAAAAAUGUCUCUUGCACCCUAAGACUGGAACUAUGCUUGGGCCUUUAUGUUAUGAUAAUCAUCUGCUGAAACAGCACCCAGGAAGAAGGAGACCCCUGUAAAAAGAACAGGCACCUGAAAUGUUGGUAGCAACAUACAGAUAUUGCUAGAUAAGCAAAGAUAUUUGUGAUAUUGUUUAUUACCUGGGCCAGUGGGGGUCAAUGACCAAUGACUUUAUGCCUUAUAAAACCCUGCUGAAGAGUCCUAUUAUGCAUCUCCUGGUUCUUCUCUGGCUAAUGCUUCCUACACUGUUGUUCAAAAAGAGGGCAAAGACUGGCUAUGCACAUAUACUUGAGCACACGUGCACACACGAUCAGAUUCACAAGAUAGCAUUCAGAUAGACAAGAUUCAGACUCAUAAAGUAGGAUGGAAAAGAGAAGCAGAGAAUUCAAAUCUGGACUCACUCUUGGUCAAAUGACACCAAGGGGAAGUUCCGUAUUGUUUUCCUUAAUGUAACAGAGACACAUUGUUGGUGACUCUUUAUCUUAAUGCAGUCAAACCAAUGGUGGGGCCAGUGUCACUCCUCUUUUUUGUUCCUCCCCAAGGACAAAUCUGCCCCGUGUCUGUAAACAAAGUGAAUUCUCAGCAUUGCAUAGUAUCCUUCUUGACUUGUGGGAUGCUUCGCCUGUUCAGAGAAAAGGCCAUCAGAAAUGUGUUGCCAAGAAAGAGAAAAUGGACCCUGCAGCCAGCCGAAGACGUGCCUGUAAAAACAAACAAACAAAAAAGCUGGCAAAGCCAGCUAGCCAGCAGAGCACUAAGGACCUCAGGUGGGCCCAGUGAAAGAUAGAAGCACAGGGGUAGGGCCAGAGGCAGGGAAGCAGAUACCAAGAUAACUAUGCUUACUUCCUGGUUGCCUUUGUCCUGGUUUAAGGAUAGAAUUUGAUGUGUUCUGAAUGCUUCUCUGUACUGACUGAGCAAGCACCAGCCCCUUGAUCACCAUACACACUCCUAGGUGGCAGGAGGAAGUCACAUGAAGCUUUUAUGAAGGGAAGGCUGCCAAGACCCCAGCAAAAAACAAACAAACAAAAAAAAGAAGUCAAUGCCAAUGCACAGUGUUUUUCCUAUGUUGAUGUUCCAAAUUGCUCUACAACCAGAGAAGGACAACAUCAAAGAGGCAGAUGAGCUUUGAAGACUUUGUGGGUGGAGGUUGACCAGCAGUCCUAAUAAAUAUGCAUUGUCU